rnacentral:lncRNA from 1 species
UGUUUAAUUAACAGGUAACCUGUUUGCCAACCCGAAGGCAAAAAAUGAAGCGAAAGCGAGGAUGGAGCCAUGAAGGCCUCAAAUAGAACAAUGAUAUAUAUAAGCACUUAAAUGUUAAUGAAUUCUGGCUCUGAGAAAGGUUAAUGAUUGGUAGAAAAAAGGUCGGUAUUUUAGAUCAUGAGAAAUAAGGGAAAAAUUAUUUUGGGAUUUUGUAUAGCUUGGCAGGCUCGACAACUCUAAUAGGCUCCUGGUGGUACUAACCUGAGAUGAUGUGAGAUAAAGCUGCCAUAGGCUUACAGGUCACUGUUCUAGAUUUGCCGAACACACAAUCAAUUUGCAUGAAGAUAUGAUGGUUCUUGUAAUUGAAUCAAGAUAAUUUCAAAUCUAUCAAACAUCUAUGGUAAUGGAUUAUAGAUUUCAUAUUCUGAAAACAUGUUGAGCAACAAUAUCUUACAUCACAAAAGCAUCUUUUUUUCUCUCCAUGUACCAACAGAAGAUUACCUAAAAGAUAAAUUUUAGGAUUCAUAACAUUUUUAAAAAACCAUGAAUCUUUUUAGGCAUAUGAAAUACAGAUAGCUCGAGAG